GGAAAAGGAGAGCUUGCCUCUUACGCUAAACAGCCCUCAGGACGGAGACCCCAGAGUCACCUCUCCCUCUCCCCGUGACUGGCGAAGUGUCAAGUGCCGUACAGCCUAGGGAGUCUGAGGAUAGCGUGGACGUCAUGAGAGCAGGUGAGGAAGAGGGCAAGGAGAAGGUGGAGAGCAGGUAUAUAUGCCGAUCCUUCCACCCACAGCAACAUUAUAGCAACUGGCCGGGAGAUCAGAAGCCUGUGGGGCAACACACCGACUGGUGCAGCGAUGCUCGGGCCAGGGAAUGAAGUUCACACCACCGCCAGUGUUACAUCAGCUCAAAAUAUGGAAACACAAACCCAGUAAUAAAAACCAGAGAGAAG